GAUGAACGCUAGCUACAGGCUUAACACAUGCAAGUCGAGGGACCGGCGCACGGGUGAGUAACACGUAUCCAACCUGCCCUUUACUCGGGGAUAGCCUUUCGAAAGAAAGAUUAAUACCCGAUAUAAAGGAUGGGGAUGCGUUCCAUUAGGUUGUUGGUGAGGUAACGGCCCACCAAGCCUUCGAUGGAUGGGGGUUCUGAGAGGAAGGCACCCCAGAUUGGAACUGAGACACGGUCCAAAAUCCUACGGGAGGGAGCAGUGAGGAAUAUUUGGCAAGGGGCGUUAGCCUGAACCAGCCAAGUAGCGUGAAGGAUGAAGGCUUAUGGGUCGUAAACUUCUGUUAUAUAAGAAUAUGUAUUAUAUGAAUAAGGAUCGGCUAACUCCGUGCCAGCAGCCGCGGUAAUUC
rnacentral:rRNA from 1 species